UGGGGAUAAUAUUCCGAAAGGAAUGCUAAUACCGCAUGACAUCCUGCUUUUUAAGAGGUGGAGAUCAAAGCUGGGGACCGCAAGGCCUGGCGCUUGAAGAGGGGCCCGCGUCUGAUUAGCUAGUUGGUGGGGUAAUGGCUCACCAAGGCAUCGAUCAGUAUCCGGCCUGAGAGGGCGGACGGACACACUGGGACUGAGACACGGCCCAG
rnacentral:rRNA from 1 species